AAUUUUUCGAGAAGCAUACUCGCAGUUGGCUGCGUCAGUUCCACUUUGACGGCUGUGGGAAAAAUUUGGUACAUUUGAAGCGCGAAAUUUUCUCUAUUUUAGUGAAAUAGCAGCCUAGACAUACAGCAAAGUGCAAAACCUGCAUAAAAUAAUUAAAUACAAUUGCUACAGUUCUAAAACGACGGCGUAAGCACACAGUUGCAAAUAAAAUAAGUUAAUAAACGCAAAGUUGUGCGUGUGGCGUGAAAGAAGUGUGCUUUGGUGCUGCUGCGUUUUGUUUUGAAGACCUUAUUUCUCUGGAUUUCAUUAGCAGCGCUGAAAACAGCUUUUUAAAUACUAAUGUAUGGAAAUAUGAAUAAUGGUGGCCACGCGCCAUACGGAUACAAUGGUUAUAGACCGAGCCAACUAAAAUCAA